ensembl:lncRNA
ACCUUUUGUAUGCCAGUCAUUAGGCAAGUCACUAUGGGGUUGAUGAUCUCUCUCUUAUGAACCUUGCAUUUUCAAAUGAAAUACAGACAAUUUGAAAAUAAGUAACAUUAUAUUAAAUAGGAUAAAUUAAAUAUAUUAAAUAGGAUAAAUAGUUCAAAAUGUGCCAUGGAAAAGAGGUAGAUGGUGGCCAGCACUGUGACAUAGCAGAUAAAGCUCCUGCCUGCAGUGCCAGAAUCCCAUGUGAGUGCCGGUUCAAGACCCGGCUGUUCCACUUCUGAUCCAGCUCUCUGCUAUAGCUUGGGAAAGCAGUAGAGAAUGUCCCAAGUCCUCCGGCCCGUGCACCCGUGUGGGAGACCCAGAAGAAGCUCCUGGCUCCUGGUUUCAGACUGGCAAAUUGCUAGCUGUUGCAGUCAUCUGGGGUGUGAACCAGUAGAUGAAAGACCUCUCUGUCUCUCUGCCUCCACCUCUCUGUAUGCAGGGUCUUAGUCCACCCGUCCAAGGACGGACUGGGUCCGAGGAAAGGUAAGUGCCCGCCACUCGCCUGUUCCCCAGCCUCCUGAUCCCGGAGACAAUCAGAUGCAGUGGGGAGUCAAGUCUAGCAAGAACUCGUUUAUUUCGCACAUAACAGAGCCUUUUAUAGCACAAAACUGCAGUCAUUGGGGCAGGGCUAAGGACCAACCAAUCACUUAAAAGAUCAUUUUAUGGGAUGAUUUCUAUAGGACUAGCCAUAUGUCUAUACACACGUCAUCAGUUGUCGUCACUUCCCCUGAUGUUGCGCAGCCAAUCAGCCUUGGUGACUAACAACUUGGAGUUCCGCCCAUCUUACUUCCUCUGGGUGCCAUCUUCUUUGCCCCUCUCGCAGGGCCCGCUGGAGAGGAGGCCUCCGGCAUCAUCGUCGGCAGCCAGCGCCUGCAGGCUGUAGAUGAAGUCCUCCUGCAGGCCCUACAGCCGGUCCUGCGACUCCAUGUUGACCAGGCGCACUCCAUGUUGACCCCUCCUUGGCACCGCCCGGGCCCCAUCGUCCACACCGCCCAGUCCAGGGCCAGAGCCGCACGCAGCGGCCCGCGGGCCGCUGUCUGCA